CAAAGGAGACCUUCAUCAACAAGUAAUGAGUAUUCAAAGAACACUUCAGGACAUUCGAACUUCUAAAUUUGCUGAAUGGUUGAGUAGAUACAAACAGGAAAACCUUGAUCUUGACAUGCAAAUUGACUACUGAAAGCAGGAUGAAGAAAGAGGAAGAAAAGAGAGAACUCAUCACUCCUGGAGAUUCGCCAAAUAGAAUUUGAAAGUGUGUGGUGUCCUGUCUUUUCACAUCAGAAAUGAUCAAUACAAUGACACAUGCCAUAUACAGAAAAUGCUUUGAGUGCCACUAUGUUUACUCUUUUUAACUGUAUACAUCAAUGGGUCAUGCCACUGAAAUAUACUCCAUGUGAACAAGAGAAAUUUAUCUGACAUACCAAAGGCUUCUAUAGAAGAUAAGAUACAAGCCUAAGCAUGCAACAUUCUCAAACGUCAUAUGAAUAGAAGGAAAAAGUAAAUAUGUGAGAAAACCUCUCAGGCCAAAAAGCAGACAAAUAAAG
rnacentral:lncRNA from 1 species